AGGAGGAACAACCGCAGUGGCGGGGCCAGCUCUGCAGCCCUGGAUUCAGCCCCCGCAGUAGCUCCAGAGCUCUCCGUCUGCAGGGCCUGGAGGCUCCGGGGCGGG
rnacentral:pre_miRNA from 1 species